CACCUGCUCGCUCAGUUGCAAGAAACACAAUUUGGGUCUUAAAUAACAACAAAACCUUAAAGAAAGAUUUUUCGUGCAAUUAGUUCUAGAUCUGAGCGCAGAGUCAGCGAAAGGAUUCGAACUAGAGACGUCAGGGCACCAGAAUUUUACUGGUUCCUGCAACUUCAAGGGAUUCGAACUCUGAUCGAACAGAUGCGGUGAAAUAUGUCUGGGCAGGGGCAGCGGCUGAAUGUGGUGCCGACGGUAACGAUGCUGGGUGUGAUGAAAGCCCGGCUGGUAGGCGCUACGCGAGGGCACACUCUGCUAAAGAAGAAAAGUGAUGCCCUUACCGUCCAGUUCCGUCAAAUCUUGAAGCGCAUCGUUUCAGCGAAAGAAACCAUGGGCGAAACCAUGAAAGCCUCUGCCUUUGCCUUAAUCGAAGCCAAAUACGCGGCAGGGGAAAACAUCAAGCAUGUCGUCCUGGAAAAUGUGGAGUCCGCAACCGUCAAGGUCCGUGCCCGUCAAGAAAAUGUCGCGGGUGUUAAAUUGCCCAAAUUCGAGUACUUUACAGAGGAAGGAGCGACGAAGAAUGACUUGACGGGCUUGGCUCGUGGAGGGCAGCAGAUCCAGUCCUGCCAAUCUGCUUAUAUCAAGGCUAUUGAGGUUCUCGUGGAAUUGGCUUCGCUUCAGACUUCGUUUUUGACGCUGGACGAGGCCAUCAAGGCGACUAAUCGGAGGGUUAAUGCGCUGGAGAAUGUGGUGAAGCCGAGGCUGGAGAAUACUAUUAAUUAUAUAAAGGGGGAGCUUGAUGAGCUGGAGAGGGAGGAUUUCUUUAGGCUGAAGAAGAUUCAGGGGUAUAAGGAGAGGGAGCUUGAGCGGCAGAUGGAAAGUGCCAAGUCCUUUGCGGAGGAUCAGCAGGCUGAGAACUUUGCGCUGCAGAAGGGGGUUUCCAUGCGGAAGGCACAUGAUAUGCUAUCCAUGGGGACUGAGAAAGACGAGGAUAUCAUUUUCUGAAAUGGUAUUUUUCCAAUAAUGUUAUUUGCUAAAUUCUUCUUCUGCGGUGUGGUGCUCUUUAGCUUAGAUGCCAAGCCCGACAGAUAAUGUGCUCCUAGGGUUCAAAUUUCAGAUACACAUCAGCUAGUCUGUGGGCAAUUAUGUAGAUGUUUGUAUUUAAAGGCCGUAAGGCUGUGUAAAAGGAUGCAGAGCACUCGAAACAUGAUUGAUGGAAAGCAUUUGGUAGAUUUAGUAUGACAGUUCAUUACGUAAUGGUUUCGAGGCUCCGAAAAGGAAGACUACAGGUCACCGAAUAAUGAGCUGUAUAUGCAGGCAAGAGCUAUAUAUGCGGGCAAGAGCAUGAUGUCUGGAGAGUGACUGACAGAUUUCAUACGUCAUUCGUCAGUAUGAGAAUUAUUCUUUUUGUUUCUUUUGAACUUAGUGUUAGGUAGUCUAAUGCUAGCUUUUUGCUCUUUGCCUUUCUGAAUUAACCUAACAGGGAAGACUGGAGAUUGUUGAUUUUGCAUUUAGAAAUAAAAUGCUAUCCCUUUCAUUUU